GUGGUGAAGAGGUUGGGUGAGAAAGGGAUGUGAUUCAUCAUUAUCAAGCAGGUACAACACCCGCAAGGCUUUAGAGGUGAGGGUGAGAAAAAAAUCGUAUAAAAGGAGAGAGAAAAGGAUACAGACAUCAGUUGGGUGAGCAUCACCGACACGGCAACAACUGCAGUGCACUACCUCCACCAACUGCCUUCUUCAUCGCGUUACCAGUUCUCAACAAUGGUUAACCAUGGCUCGUGCUGCUGCUGCUGUCGGGUGUUGUAUUGUUGAUGGCUGGGUUGACCAUGUACUGAUGUUUCCUGGGAAUGGUGGAUACCAAGUAACAGCAGCGAAAGAACAGAACCAUGCGCCACACUAACGUCAACAUACGCAUCACUACCUACUACACUGAGGCUCCUAAGUACUACACCACCAAGGCUCCAAGGUAGAACACGAAAACUUACGCUGCCCAUGAGCUACUACACCGAAGUAUUACUCUGCCCCGAUGGAGUUACAUCACGUAAGCGCCUGCUUACUACACUGAGUCUUCCAAGUUCUACACCACCAAAGCACUAAGCUACUAAACCGAGGCUCUAACUUAGUACACCACCAAAGCGGUUGAAUACUACACCGAAGCGUCCAAGUACUACACUGCAACCUACUGCAACGCACUAUUUGUCCACCAACUGCCUUCUUCAUCGUAUUAAAUGGGUUCCUAAUCAUGGGCUGGGUCGACCACUGGUGUACCAAUGUCUCCUGGAUAUGGCGGAUACCAAACCACAACGCCACCGCCUUACUACACAACAACAACAUACGCAACAACUGGUUACUACUCCACUAAUGCUUCAGAAUAUUACACCGAAACUUAUGGUGCCCCGAGAUACUACACCGAGCUUCCAAGUAUUCUCUCCACCGAGCUACAUCACCCAAAGAGCCGGAAUACUACACCACUAAGGCACCGGAAUACUACAAAACUACGUAUGCUGCCCCUGCCUACUACACCAAGGUCCCUAAUUACAGCAACACCAAACCGCCCAAAUACUUCACUACAACUUACGCUCCCCCGAGCUACUACACCGGCUCCCCGAAGUAUUACUCUGCGUAAAAGGAGUAGUUUAUCGUUUAACCAAUUCGCAGUUAUGGUCAACUAUAGCGUCAAACUAUUACUCUGCCCUAAGUUGUAUCACCAAAGCGCCCAAGUACUACACUGAGGCUCCCAAAUACUACACCACCAAAGUAACAGAGUACUGCACCGAGGUUUCAACUUAUAACACCACUAAAGCAGUCGAAUACUUCACCGAAGCGUCCAUCCAUGUGCUACCAGCAUGCAACGUACGCUGCCCUAGCUUACUACUACUACCACCACUUGUCACCAACGGUCUUCUUCGUCGUAUUGGAUCGGACCUUUAUCAUUGGCACUGCACCGAGGCUUCAACUUAUUACACUACUAAAGCAGUCGAAUACUUCACCGAAGAGUCCAUGUGCUACAAUGCAAGUACGCUGCCCCACCUUACUACUACUACCAUUCCUACUACCACCACUAGUCACCAACUGUCUUCUUCAUCGUAUAAAACGGAACUGCACCGAGGCUUCAACUUAUUACACCACCACCAGCGGUCGAAUACUGCAAUUUCAACACUGAAUUAAGUGCCACACUGCAACAUACGCUGCCACAGCUUACUACUACUACUCGUCACCAACUGUAUUCUUCUUCGUACAAAUCAGUACGCAAUCAUGAGUAAAUAUGAAUAAAUUAACUAUUUCAAAUCGUGA
rnacentral:lncRNA from 1 species